UCCCGGGGGCUUCACCACGAUCUGUGCUCUACAAGAGAUAUGCUUUUAACCGCCACUAGAGGGCAGUGUAGCUGCAUUAAUAUCAUUAAUGUGUUCUAGAAUUGUGCAAAAAAAAAAAGACUGAAGACUCAUAGCCUCGUGGUCAUGGAAAAAUAACCUCUUCAGUUUUAAUUAAUACUCUAUUUAUUUGUACUUUUAUGCAUCCCCGGUUCACUCCUUGACCUGACUGACUGGAAAGGUUAAUUCACUUCUUGGGAACUUUUGAUACAUUUAACAUAAGGGACUAGCUUCGCAACAUUGAUUAGUUGCACACUAUAGAUUAGUUCUGAAACAUUGACUUGUUUAUUCCUUUGAUAUAUAUUCCUUUUCUUUCACUUCCAUGGAUCGUGGCUUGACUGCAGGAAGCUGCGUCGAUAGGGGGGAGGGUGGGAUGGCCUUGGCGGAUGUAUGAAUGUGAAGAACAUGCGUGACGUCAGUCAUGAGGGGUGGUGGAGGGAGGGAGAGACAUCAGGAGAUGUGUAUCCGUCCAAUAGGUGCGCAUUUUAAUAGAUCUCUCCUCGUCAUCCGGCGAGGAGAAUGAUGUCUAAAGUCGAAAGAAUAAGUUAUGUGUGUUAUUUUUGGAAAGUCUCUGCUGAGAUCCAUUAUGAGCCUAUGGGAUCUGUUAGUCAAGGUUAGCAUGGUCUGUUAGUCAAGGUUAGCAUGGUCUGUUAGUCAGGGUUAGUAUGUGUGUUAGUCAGGGUUAGCAUGGUCUUUUAGUCAGGGUUAGAAUGUGUCUGUUAGUCAGGGUUAGUUUGUGUCUGUAUGGGUUCAUUUUAUUUGAACAGCUAGGUUACUAAAAUAUGAAUGUGUUAUUGAGCUUACAGAAGUAAACCUAGAUACACCAAAGCACUAGCACUGUGGUGUAUCUAGCCUGUGGUAUAUCCAGCCUGUUCGGGUCUGAAACUGGGGUUCUCCAUCACUCUGGCUGCAGAAUAGAUCGACGGUGGUGGUGCUGGUGGUGGAUGCCUUGUCAGUAAAUGUCAGGGGGAAGGGUGGCUCGGUGCUCCGGCCCCUGCAGGGGGUCUUGGGUGAAAUGCCAGCAGACAUGAAGUUAACCACAGUGGACUGGGGAGGACCACCAGCACCGCCCUUCUCCUGGGACCCCUGGAGGGUUCAGCCUUCAGCCUUUAGCUCCAACUUCAGCCCUGGACCUCUAAGCCCUGACACCUCACCCAACCUAGCCAACGAAAGAGUUACGAAGGAGAUGGGAGAUGGAGGCUGUGAAGCCCAAACCCUGUGGGGGAAGAGGAGGAGGAGGAGGACUCAGGAUGGAGAUUAGUCUGGAGGGUCAAGUCAAGUGACUUUUAUUUAUAUAGCACAUUUAAAUACAACAGGAGUUGACCCAAAGCGCUUUACAUUGACAGAAGUCAGGGUUGGGCAGGACAGUUGAUGAAAGGGGCCCAGGAAUACACGGAAAGAAAGCAAUAAAAGUAGUAAGAACAAGGUUAAGGGUGUUAAGGGUUGUGAAAAGCAAGAGUGAAAAGGUACGUCUUUAAAUUAGACUUAAAACUGGCAAGGGUGGUAGAGGACUUGAUGUGGGGUGGAAAGGGUUUCCAUAGGUUUGGGCCAGCAACAGAGAAUGCCCGGCCACCUUUCGUUUUAAGAUGUGUACGGGGGACAGAUGGGAGCUGUUGUGGAUGAGCGGGUCGACCUGGGGGUGGAGUGUGGGGAAAGCAUUUGAGCCAUAUAAGGGGGUGCUGAGCCAUUAAGAGCUUUAAAAACAAAGAGUCAAAUCUUAAAAUCAAUUCAGAAUUUGACAGGGAGCCAGUGCAGCAGGCAGGUUGUCAUAUCUAUUCUAGGACAACAAGAAGUAGUUGUAGUUAUGGCCGUGAAAUGCUUGAAUGUAAUGCAAUCACAACCAUGUGACUUCACUAAAUAAAGUAGUGCAGAGUAGGUGAACUGUACUGUACUGUAGAUAGAAGUGUUGUGUCCAAUGUCCUCUGCCUUGUGUUUCGUCCUCUAUGCCUUCAUCAAAAGAUAGAUGAAGACCUGUCAGAUAUGCUGCUUCCACAUCUCUGUCUGUCUGGAUGUCUCUUUCUCUUUCUCUUUCUCUUUCUCUUUCUCUUUCUCUUUCUCUUUCUCUCUCUCUCUCUCUCUCUCUCUCUCUCUCUCUCUCUCUCUCUC